rnacentral:misc_RNA from 1 species
UUACAUAUUAAAAGAAUCAUAAUGACAGUCCUCAGGACUGAGUCAAAUUAGUUCUAAUAAGCAGACCAUUUUUGAUGAGGAUUGAUGGGCGUUAUCAUGAUAUGAUUCACAAACUUGUGUCCAACAUAUCAAUAUCAUCCGUUAAACAUUCAAUCUUUAAAUAGUCCAUGGAAGGAAAGAAAACCUAGCAAAAAAAUGAAUUCAUCAUAGAUAAUCUAACUAGAAAUUUUGAUCAAUUGUAUUUUUGUAAAAAAAUAAAAUAUUAUUGAAUCUUUGUUAACUUUCCCAUAGUUCAAAAAAAUAAAUAAAUAGAUAAACAAAAA